rnacentral:rRNA from 1 species
UGCCGCGUGUGUGAAGAAGGCCCUCGGGUUGUAAAGCACUUUUAUCAGGAACGAAAUACCGCGGGUUAAUAACCUGUGGGGCUGACGGUACCUGAGGAAUAAGCACCGGCUAACUUCGUGCCAGCAGCCGCGGUAAUACGAAGGGUGCAAGCGUUAAUCGGAAUUACUGGGCGUAAAGGGUGCGUAGGCGGUUGUUUAAGUCUGUCGUGAAAUCCCCGGGCUCAACCUGGGAAUGGCGAUGGAUACUGGGCAGCUAGAGUGUGUCAGAGGAUGGUGGAAUUCCCGGUGUAGCGGUGAAAUGCGUAGAGAUCGGGAGGAACAUCAGUGGCGAAGGCGGCCAUCUGGGACAACACUGACGCUGAAGCACGAAAGCGUGGGGAGCAAACAGGAUUAGAUACCCUGGUAGUCCACGCCCUAAACGAUGCGAACUGGAUGUUGGUCUCAACUCGGAGAUCAGUGUCGAAGCUAACGCGUUAAGUUCGCCGCCUGGGGAGUACGGUCGCA